GCCGGAUUGAUGUUCUGGCCUUAUCAAGGACUGUACAAGCCUGCCUGACUGUUCUAAAUCCUGUUUGGGUGUACAAAGAGGGAGUCUCCCCACCUUGGGGCUCCCACCCCCUGAAGGACCACAGUCUGACCCAAGCAGAGACCCUGAAGCCAGAGGGAAUGGUCCCCAGGACCAAGAGGCUCCCUUCCCAGGGGUCAAUAGCAUUCAAAGAUGUGGCAGUGGAUUUCACCCAAGAGGAAUGGUGCCUGUUGGACGAUUCUCAGAAAGUGUUAUACCUGAAGGUCAUGCUGGAGAAUGUGCAGAAUCUACUCUCUUUGGGUAAGGACCAUUUCCACUCCUAACUCUGAAUCUGCCAUUAAGGAAGUAUCUUCAUUCUGUGCCAAAUCUGCAAGAUUUUAAGCCUUGUCAAUAAUUAAAAAAGCAAAAGUGCUAAUCUUUGCCCAGAGUUCUCUUCCUGCUUCCUUUUCAUAAAAAAAAAAAAAGGUCUGAAUUAUAUGAUGGGAAGCUGGGACUUUCCUUUCUUGCCCCUGAAA